UUAAGGUUUAAUGCAAUCUAAGAAUAGCGUGAAGACAAGCAAAGAAGGGACAGAUUCAUUGGACCAGCUUUCUUUCUUUCUCUCACGGGACCAAGCCUUCACAUCCUUCCAAUUUGGCCCACGAUCGAUUAUUCUUCAGCCACCUCCGACCCCACCGUCCUAGCCGCAUAUCUCGACACGUGUCUCCUAUACCGGUCCCACUAGUCCUUCAAAUGACCCUCUUAUGGGCCCUCCACGUGACCGCUCAAAUUUUGUAUUCGCUUUGCCUCCCGGAGAAUAUUCCACGCUGGCUUACGCGGCCAUCCCACCGUCAGAUCGCCAUACCUUUUUGACUUUUAAGAAAGAUCUGACGGUUAGCAAGAAAAGUAAACGUAGAAGAAAGAGGCGGGGAUUAUAGUUUUCCAUUUUAUUCUUAUUUAAAUUUGUUGUAUAAUACAAUGAAAUAAAUAAAAAAAAAAUGUCACAAUCAUGUUGCUUGAGAUUCGUCGCCGGGCUUCCCUCUACAUGUUCUCCAUCAUAAUUAAAUAUCUUUAAAAAAAAAAAUUCUCACUUUUUUAAGUAUUUCCAAUCAAUUAAUAUAGAGCUUGAAACAGUUGAAAAUAGCUUUGAUCUUAUUAUUGUUUGUUGUUGUUCAUUCGAAGAAGAAAGAAAUGGAAAGAAGUGCUUAUGUGAGUUAUCCUUACGAGAACGGAGUAAUGAUGACAAGGGACCCGAAGCCAAG
rnacentral:lncRNA from 1 species